rnacentral:rRNA from 1 species
GCGUUGCUCGGAAUCACUGGGCGUAAAGGGUGCGUAGGCGGGUCUUUAAGUCAGGGGUGAAAUCCUGGAGCUCAACUCCAGAACUGCCUUUGAUACUGAGGAUCUUGAGUUCGGGAGAGGUGAGUGGAACUGCGAGUGUAGAGGUGAAAUUCGUAGAUAUUCGCAAGAACACCAGUGGCGAAGGCGGCUCACUGGCCCGAUACUGACGCUGAGGCACGAAAGCGUG